rnacentral:sRNA from 2 species
AGAAGACCUCCCUUAGAUCUGCUGCUUGUUCAAACGCAGGUUGUAAAAAAGCGGGAUGACGUAUUGACCGUCACCCCGC